rnacentral:lncRNA from 1 species
CACAGCAUCCCCUGCUAGGCCACUUGGAUUGCUACUACUUGCAUCAUCAACAUUUUUCCAACCGAAGAAAUCAGUGCCGAUGCAAUUUACACUUUUCAUUCCAAUUAUGUUGACAAUAUUGAGGUGAGGGAGGUGCCCAAGUGGUGGAAUUUGCUGACACUUGUUGAAGUUCCUCAGCACGAUCUUCACAAGAUUGCGAAACACCAAAGGAUGGCUUGUGGUCAGCAUCCACGAUGGAAGGCUUCGGCCCAUAAAGUUUUCCAUUGUGAAACCUUUCAAAUUUGGGUGAGGUUCAAGACCUUUCAAGACAUCCUCAUCAGUGGAUUCGUCUCUGGUCCUAGUAUCCCAGUGAAGUUCCAAACUAUCAAGGUUUAUCUUUGUGGAUAUUUUUGCUUUGAUUGCUUCCUCUUGGUUGCUAACAUUCUGGAGAUCAAAGAUCUUGAGGUCGCCCCUGAGAUUGUGCAAAUGCCCCAACUGAUCAAUUUGACAUCCCUUAUCUUGACUUACAUAGAAGAAAGGCAACGUCUGAAGAGAGCUCAGCUGUCCUAUAUCAGGAAGCAAACAUGGCUUGCCGUUGAUGAUUCCAUCUUUUUCAAUGCACAAAUGCCUCAGGUUAACCAAAUUUCCAAAAUUUUUGGGAAGCUGUUGCAGAUUACUAAGCCUCAUUGUUUGCAAAUUGUACAACUGUGUGAUGGGAUUUGGGAGUUCUGUUAUUGAAGUCCUGGAGAUGUCAAGAUAUCUUAAAAGCUUUAACUUUCCAAUCGUGGCUGGCAAUUCCUUAACUUCUUCAUCAACAAGAAAUAAGACUCGAAGGCUUUUACAAACGAUCGGCAAACCAUGUGCAAGGUUCAAAAUCAAAGUUCGCAGCUUUAAAAGACUUUCCCUACCGGUUAUAAGUUCAGCCGAGGGAAACAAGAAAAUGGACUCUUUGGCUACUUCUUGAACAAAGUCAUACACAAGAUCGUGAAUAGUGAAUUUUAUAGUUCUUCCAAACCCAUCCUUCUCGUAAACUUGCAACAAAGAAGUCCGGAACAAAAUACUCAUGUAGUUACUUCCAACAUCCUCCAUUUCCAGGUGACUUCCCUUGGAAGGAUUAAGCAAUCCCUGUGCCAUCCAAAGUUGUAUCAUGAUUUCCACUGAUAUAAAGCCACCGUUUCCCAUUAUAAUACAACAUAAAAGACAUUGUUUCAACGACAAUGAAGGCAAAUGAUCGUAGCUUAACUUUAUAGCGGAUCUGACUCUACUUCCAGCUUCUUCCAUUGCAGUCCAGGUUUCACUAUGUUCUAUUUUUGACCACUCACGUUCAUCCUUUUUGGAGUACAACAAACCUCCUAUUGCCUUUACUGCCAAUGGCACACCACCGCACUUAGCAACAAUUUUUCUUCCUAUAUUUAUCAAUUCAGGAGUCUUUAUUGCUGCACAACCGUGACCAAAUGCUAUUUUCUCAAACAAUUCCCAGCUAUCACCAUCAGAAAGUGUUCCCAAUUGACAAGGAAAAGAUGCUUGCAUGAUUGAAACAACUGCCUCGUUUCGAGUUGUCAUGAUUAUCCUACUUUCGUCCGAUCCACCUAUCCCUCGCAGACACUUCCUCAUUCUAUCCCAUUUCUCUGCAUCUUCAUUCCAAACAUCAUCCAGUACAAGCAAGAAUCUUUUGGUUUUAAGUACCUCGUUAAGCUUUCCUACAAUUGCCUCUGCAACUGUCAGAUUAGGGUUGGUUCCUGUAAGAGACUCUACCAUCUUAUUUAAGAGUCUUUCAACAUUGAAAUCUUCUGACACGUGGAUCCACAAUUUAUGAUCAAAAUGCCUCAGCACCUUUUCAUUUUUGUAGACUAGCUGAGCAAUCGUUGUCUUGCCCAAACCAGCCAUCCCAACUACACCAAUAACUGAUAAGUUAUUACCAUCCUUCUCUGAAGAAGUUAACAAGUUUACAACCUUGUUCAAUUCCUCACUCCUUCCCACAAUACUGGAAUCAUCAACAAAAGGAUCAAUAGUACUAGAUCGAUCACUUCUGGGAUCGUUAGACAUGUUAACUAACUCAACAGGCCUAAGUCCAAUCCUUUCCGCUUCCUGAUAAACUUUCUUUAUACUCAAGUUCAUGUUCUUAAUCUUGUGAGCAAAUUUGAAACGGAAUGCGAGCGGAUAUGAACCAGAAAAGAAGCUACGAACCUGGUCUUGCAUGCGCUUCUUCAACUUUUUGCGAAGAACUUCAUAUGCAAACUCGUCCAGCAAGUACUCAGCCUCGGACGACACAUCCUGGAGCCUUCUAAGCCAAAGAUCAACGGCGUUGCUUCUGUUAUUUUUGCAUUCAGCAUCAAGAAGCAAAGCUUGAAUCAUCUCCAGAUCUCGAGCUAAACUUUCAAGAUCUUCCUUGACACCCCACACUAUGUCGAUCUCUUCAGCCACAAGUGAAAUUAACUUACUCCGAACUCCCUCUAUAACAAUAUUAAGCAAAACAUCAGCCAUCUCACUUUUGUAUUCCUACGAGAGGAAGAAUUGCUCGCUAAUCUGUGUGAUAUUAGCAAAGAACAAAGAAGUCAACGGCCCUUUGAGGAGGGGGACUGAAAGAAGUAAAUGAAAUGGCGACAGAGUGUAGUUGAACCAUGUGAAAAAUAGUGAAGUAAAGAAGGGGAAGAGAUAAACUCAAAGAAACCUUAUCCAUCGGCUGACGUGUUGCCAAACUAACGUCCACGAAAUUAUUGUCCACGCACGCACGGACCACAUAUAAGCCGGUGGUCCCUUGUAAUUGUCACAUUAUUAGGUAUGAAAAGGUUAUCUUUUUUUUUUGGGAUAAUUUCAGAAACCUCCCCUGAGGUUUCUGACAGUCUCAAGGACCUCCCCUGAAGUUCCGAAAAUCCCUUAUACCUCCCCUGUCAGAUUGUUGGGUCCCAAAAUGACUUGAAAAACGUUGAAUUGACACAAAUAUCCCUGCUGUUGAAGUAAUAUAUUCUGAUAAUAACAUGAAUUAAUUAGUGAAAUGAGUAAUAGAAAGGAUUAAGUAACUUAACUGGAAUUUGAUAAUAAAAUGAAUUGCUAAUUUGGGCUAAGAGAAAAGGCGCCAAAAAUUGCAUCAAACUAAAAGGGAUAUUUAAUAUUCAAUAAAAAAAGAAUCCAAAAAAUUUCUUUUAUUUUAUAGAGGAAUAAAAAGGAUAGUUAAUAGAGGAAAAAAGAAUUAUUCCUUUUUAUUCCGUUCCUAUUCUACUUUUUCAUAAAAGGGAAUUUUAACCAAAAUCAAACUAAAAGAUUAUUUCGUUCUUGAUAGUUAUUUAAUUAAUUGUUGGAUGGGAACAUACUCUGGAUCGGAAUCUUGGGGAAUACUUCUUGAUCAUUUCUACCAACUUAAAGCCCCAAUUUGAAUUCCCUUUAUAUACGGAAAUAUCCCUUUGGAAAUAUCCCUUUAUUUAUCGGAUAAAAUAAAUUUAAACCCAUUGUUGAAUAAAAGACCAGCUCUUUAUGGCUUUCGUCCAUUAUACUUACAGAGUACCCAUUUUCCUUCAAUGCGAGGUCAUGUACCUUGCAUUUAACAAAUGCAAGGUCAUGUACCUCAGUUUCCCAUCAUUGUUUCGUAUGAUGCUUCCAUAUUUUGGCAUGAUUUUUCCUUUUGCUUCAGCUGUAAUGCCAUGUACUCAAUAUAAAUGAUUUAACUGCAAAUUAUAAAAUGAUUUACAAUUUGCAAUGAAAGCGUCUACAAAUUUUAGCAGUUAAGGCUCUAAAUUCAUUAGAACUGGAAAAAUUUUUUAUUUUAAUUCAAUAAAUUUAUUUUAUUUUAUUUUAAUUUCGGCAUUCAAUGGGUUUAAAUUUAUUUUAUCCGAUAAAUAAAUUUCUAUUUAAGGCACCUUGGGUAUUCUGUGAGUAUAAUGGACGAAAGGCAUAAAGAGCUGGUCUUUUAUUCAACAACGAAUUUUAGCAGUGAAGAAACCUCAGUCACAACCCAACAACAUUCACUGGUUUCUCUUGCAACUUCAGUAGGCAAUUAUAUAGAGCUCCAAAGCAACACUACUGUUUCUUAUUACCGUUACAAAGAACUACUUUGAGAGCCGUUGGCAUGAACUAGAAGACAAUUUCUUGCAAUACAGCCUUACCUUUUUCCAUCAGUUUCACAUACACCCCCCGCAAUUUCAAAGGAACUAGAUUCCAUUGAAAUUUUCAACAUAAACAUCCUCACUAAUGACAAUCUUGAGGGCAGAGAUGGAAUUUGAUUAUUUUCUCUCUCCUGAAACACAUUUUAUAUUCAUUGUCCACCUCAAUUGGGUUGGACCUGAAACUAUCUACUUAGUUUUAGGGGAGGUAUAAGGGAUUUUCGGAACUUCAGGGGAGGUCCUUGAGACUGUCAGAAACCUCAGGGGAGGUUUCUGAAAUUAUCCCUUUUUUUUUUUGGGAUAAUUGCAGAAACCUCUCUUGAGAUUUCUGAUAUUUGCACUGAUCUCCCCUCUAGAUUUAGAAAUUGCAUUCACCUCCCAUGAACAGUAAUAAUUCGUUGCAGAAACCUCCUUGACAGCUUUUGUAGAGGUGAGAUAAGAAUUUUCUUCCAAUUUUGCCCUUACUUGCUUGACAAUUAUUAUUUGCUUGACAAUUGCUUAACUAAUUAUCUAAUUAGUUAAUAGUUAAACUAAUUAACUAUUAACUAAUUAUUUAAUUAACUAAUUAUCUAAUUAACCAAUUAACUAAAGCUGUUGUCUGUCCGAAACUAACAAACUAUUUGCAUGUUAAACUAAUUAACUAAUUAACUGCUUAACUAAUUAACUAACUAACUAAUUAACAAACUAUUUGCAUGUUAAACUAUAUGCAGUAUGCAUUACCUAUUUAAAGUAUCAGCUCUUUAUAAGUAUUUUACUUUCAAACAUUUAAUUUAUGAUAAAAACAUCAAUAUUUGUAUGUAAAAUUCAAAAAGUGAUACAGUAAUAUUGCUGUCCUGGUUGUAAUAUAGCAAGAAAGUUUAGCAUAAGGCUUAAGUUCUUCCCAAAAUGUUAUUUCUACUUAUGUUUGAGGUAGAAAUAUUGUGGGAGGUCCUUGUGGUUCAAUAUGUUCGCAUGAAUUUUCGCUUAUCUGGUCAAAUUUUAUAUUAUGGUAUGUUGUAAGGUUUUACUUAAUCAGUCUACAAACUUAUGUUAAUAGAAAAUUUGAAAUGACUGAUUAUAUGCAAAUAGUUUCAAGUAGCACUGUUCAACUCCCUAACUAAUCAUGCUAUAAGUACAUCAAAGUGAAUAUCGAACCUUCUAAAGUAGAAUCUUUCGUAAAAGUACUUGUUAAGCGCUUAACAGUAUUAUUUGACUUCAAAGUUCAAACUUGCAAAAUUGCCUUUUAUACUUAAUAAUGUGAAAAUUUUGAUUUCUGAAUUGUGUUUAACUUCACAUAGAGCUCAUAUUUUGUGACAAAACAAAUUAAUUUUUUUUUUUUGAGUUUUUGCAAUAUAAAUGUUACCCUACAAGUGUUAAUUUUGAAACAGCGCUAAAGCCUGAUGCUGCGCAUCAAGUUGCCCUGAUUAAUUGUAGUAUUUGCGCUGAUGCAUUGUGCAAUUGGCGAUAAUGCAAUCACACACAUGCUCCUAAAGGAGAAGAAGAAAGUGGGCCGCUAAGGCAACAGAGGGAGAAAAAGUACACAAGAAAGCGGGUACCUUCUCCUUUUUAGGCAAAGGUAACUAAUUUCGAUACAAAAAUGUACAAAAAUAUAAUGGGAUAAGAGGACCACUCACAAAGAAGCUGAGGCGUAAUUACCAAUAACCAAGUUCAGUUCUUUUCUUUGUUGAAGGGCCAAGACUUAAAUAGACAUAAUUUUUAAAGAUUUGCUGGUUCAAAUUGUGUCACAUCAUUUUGAAAAUCGAGUCUAUCGAUCAUCUACGAGAAUGAUUGAAGAAUGAUCUCAAUAGAUAAACUCAAAGAAAUCUUAUCCAACGGCUGAAAUGUUGCCAAAAUAUCAUUAGGACUUUUUAGUAAUUAUUAUUGCACAGGUUCGGCACCUGUCAAUUGAACUGAAUCUUUGAAUGACUUCUAUGCACUUAGGUUAGGAUUUUAUUUUUUUCUUCUUUUUUAGGCAACUUAAAUAGGAUUUAAUCUAAGCUUUAACCCAAAGAACCUCUCUCCGGCUGCAUUAGGUACAUUAGGCAGCUUAGAAAAACUAAGAGUAGAACAUUAUAUGAACUAUAAACCUAACAUUGGAUAAAAAAAAAAAAGUAAACCUAACAUUGGAAAAGGAAAGAAUUAAUUGGAAGAGGGGAAGAAGGGGGGGGGGGACUUUGUGGCUUUUUUUUUUUUGAAAAAAAUUUUGACCAAAAUCUAGAUAUUUGUCAUGUAUUUAGUGGGGAAAAAAGAAACCAAUGAUGCUAGGUAUUUGGAGGUAUUCAAGAAAAAUUUUUGCCAAAUUUAUUUCCUUGUUAAUUUGUCAAUCAAUAAUUUGGUUUUUUUUUUUGCAAAAAAAAUGAAUCAUAAACACUUUUUUUUUUUUAAUCAUCUUUCUGUUAGGUUUUUUUUUUUUUUUUUUGUUUCACAUACAUUACAUCACAAAGAACAUUAUAGUUUUUCUGAUUUUUUUCACAAAUAAUCUUCUAUACAAACAAACCCAAAUCUUUUUAUUCUUCUUAUUGCUCCUCAUUUUUUUUGGUGCCUUGAAAAUGUUUGUGAUGAUUUGAAAGAUAAGUACAAAGAAAUAAAAUUAGCAAAAUGAACCAUAUAUCUUACAUUGCAUGCUUCUUUUAGAUACAAUGAUCUAAGAAAUCACAUCAAAAAUCCGUAAGUUCAGAUCAAACCAGACAUUUGAAGUGCUUAAGGUAUUUAACUCAAAAUUUAUUGCGCAACACAUGUUUAUUUUCUAGAAAUUGCACUUAAGGAUCAAUUGCAUUUGCUCAGCCUCUAAAGAGUCUUUUUUGUAUUUAAUUAAUUAUGAAGAUGAUUUUAGAAUAAUUAUGUUCUCCAGUUUUCAAAUGAGCAAAUUGCUAUAUUUGUUAGAUUAAAAGAAAGCCCAAAUAGAGCUAACGACCACUAGAAACCCUCUGGAGUUGAAGUUUUAACUACAACUCUUAAAAUGGUUUUCCAAGAUUUGUUUUAUUAAUCAGAAAGAAUAUAGAGAAGCAACCUGUUAUAUAUGUACCUGAAAAUUUCAAACAAUGAAAGUGAAGAAAUUUGGCCAUCUUUUACCAACAACGGCACCCUUUGAACACUGCAGCUAGUUUGAGCAAUUGAGCUCUCUUAAAUACAGUUGCUAGUAAAACAGGAGAUGGAUCGAUCCUCAAGCAAUGAAGACUACUAUAUGUUACUAUUUUUGUCCUAUGGCUGUCAGAAUUGUUUAUUUUCUCCAUUUUAUUUCACAUAAAGGUGCAAAAUUGGAGGUGUUUCAUGCAUCUCUUUUAAAGCGUGAAGCUAAAAACUUCUCGAACGAUCACGCCUUCAAACCUUUUUGCGUCUCCUACUGAUAAAGGCGUGCUUUGGUACCUGUACACUAACGAAGGUCCUCUUGCCUCCACUUUAAAAAUGCGACACACCUGGAAUACAUCAAUACCAUGCCUUUUCUUAAUAAGAUUUUGACACAAAAAUUAGUGGGCAACACCUUUUUAUUAUCAAGAAAAUUACACUUCAAAACAUUUCAAUGAGACAGGCUAAGCCCCAUAGAUCCCCACAUACUUGAUUGGUUCAGAUUUCCUGGGGGGUUUUCUGGUAUCCCACUUUCAGCUCCCAAUUUAUCUCCAAGAUUGCCUAGGAGGCACACAUUUAGCACCAAACUUCCAAGUCAUUAUCUAGCUAUAAAAAUGUGUUGAGCAAAAAAUAUGUCAUCUUGGUCAACAGCAGCUUAAUUAUCCGUACAUAUUGUGCCAGAAUAGAUCACAUUAAACUCACUGAAUCAAAUAAUGAAUGGACCAGCAUUUGACUUUUGAGAUAGUUGGCAUUGCAAUUUCUUGGCUGUGCAAUAGUCAUCCACCUUUGUCUUGUUGAAGGGGAAUUGUACUAGCAACUUAGUUUUGUUAAUGUAACCAUCCUUUUCUCCAAUGCUGCAAAACUGUGUUUAGGUGUUACAAGGGAUAAGUCUGAUGAAGCACAUGAGCAUUUAGCAAAUCAAAGGUAGAUGUAAUUAGACAACUGAAAUGAUGUUAUUUUGAACAACAAAAUCAUCAAAGAUUCUUGUCUAUUAUUAGAGAAGACCAAGGAAAGUAAAGUUGACAGAGACUUGAAAAGGUUUCACAUUAUUCACGGGCAACCACCACAACCUGCUUCCCGACGUUGCGACCUGAGAAGAGUCCUAUCAGGGCGCUUGGGGCAUUCUCAAGGCCUUCAGCUAUGUCUUCCACAUAUGCUAUCUUCCCUUCUUUUAUCUGGGGUAGAACCAUAUCCAGAAAUUUCGGAUAGAGAUGAUAGUAAUCGAACACCAAAAAUCCUUCCAUUUUAAUUCGCUUAGUGAUCAGGCAGAAGAGAUUGUGAAUGCCUUCAUGCUGCUCAAGGUUAUAUUGUGAGAUCAAUCCGCAAACAGCAAUGCGACCGUGGACUCUCAUGUUGAGAAGCACGGCAUCAAGCAUCUUUCCUCCGACAUUCUCAAAGUAAAUGUCAAUGCCAUCUGGAAAGUACCUAAGGGAAAAAAGAUAGAAAGUCAGGAAUGCUGAUUUACUUUGAGCAGUCCAAAGUAAGAAACUGACUGUGACAGAAUCAUCCUCCUCUAAUGCGCCAACAUGACAUGCAAGAAAAGAAUGAAUGCUGGCAAAUUAAGAUCUGCAUUGAAUGUUGAUAACUUGGAGAAGUGUGCUUCGAGCUCAAGGUACACAUGUACCAGGUGACACAUAUACACAGUUCAUUUAAGUGAAUGCCCUGCCACUCAGAACAAACUGCCUUGGGGAGUCAGAAAGUAGAUUUUAAAAUCUAAACUUUUCAGCCAGUAUAUUAGGACUGACCUUUUUAAAGCCGCAUUUAGAUCUUGCUCUUCUUUGUAGUUGAAAGCUUCAUCAAAACCAAACUUGUUCUUCAACAAGUCAACCUUUAAAGAAACAAGAUAAAGCAAGAUGAGAGAAGAAACAAUAGGAAUACAGUGAUAUCAUGUGGCUAGCUUUAAGUACCCUCAGUGUUUGUUCUAACAAACAAAUAUGAAGUAAAAGUUCCUCUUGCAAACAUUAUUCAGGCUAAUCAUGCAAGAUGCCUGGAGUAAGAAGGGUGAAUUUAUUAAUUUUCCCUUUCUUGUUUUUGGUACAACAGAUCAUUAGAUGCUCAAUAGAUGCUAUCUGAAUAUAUGGUGCUUCAUGAAGCAUAGGUACAACUACCACUGGAAUCAGAUAACAGAAGAUCCAAGCAAUCAGUUCUGAGUAGCUUUCACCAAGACUGGCCCAUAAUGACCGUCAACAUUCUUUAUAGAAUUAAAAGGUCGCAAUUUGUACGCAAAGAAAGUCUAUGGAAAGAAAAAGGACUUGACAUUCAGUUUAUCUAGAAGAUACCCACACAAUCUUAUAUGAAUCCAUUUCAACAGAAACAUGAAUAAAGUUCUCACUGAAACUGAUACAAGGUUUCCAAUGAUCUAAACGGCAGCAAACGAAGUGCGGGCUUGCUUUCUUGAACCCAAAAAAGAGGAAAUUUGACCAUGCAGAUGUCUUAAGAGAUUACCUUUUCUUUGGUUCCAGCACUUCCAAUGACAUAACAACCAAAAGCCUUUGCAAACUGUCCAACAAGCUGACCAACAGCUCCAGAAGCUGCUGAAAUGAAUACACGCUCUCCCUUCUUCGGAGAACAAAUCUCAAAAAAACCAGCAUAAGCAGUCAUGCCAGGCAUACCUGUUAGCAAAGCAGAACAAUUGAAGGGGGGGGGGGUCUUAAAAAAUUAGGAGCCAUGAUGGAAAACUGGUAAGGAUAUAACACUGGAAGCAUCAUAGUAAAAGGUUGGGCAGCCACAUUCAGUUGCUUGAGGUAAAUAAAACAUAUUUCUUUAUCCCAUCCUUGAAGAAUGUCCCAGAAAUUCCAAAUAAGGUAACGUUAGAAACACCAGUAAUGGUAAAAACAUAGAAGAUCAGGUCCAGAAAAUUAGCAUCAGGUGGUGGCAAGAGAUACAAGCAUAUGGCAUUGUAGUAGCAUCUAAAUCAGAUGAAGAGGUUCAAGGAAGAAGUCAAACUAUUCAUAAAUAAAAGACUCAAGCAAUUAACUAAUGGACCUAAUUCCUCAUCACUCUCUGAUGGCAGUUCGCUUAAUAGCAGAUCUUACAUCAUGUAAAGCUCACUAUACAUAAAGGAUGUAUAUCCCAUUCCUACCAUAGCAAACAACUGUAAAGUGCUUCAAUCAGACUGCUAAAGCUUAUUAAAGUUCCACACAAAGCUUUUAAAGGUAACAAACAUCAAAUGCUGGAAAUCUCCAAUAAGAAAAGGAAGUAACUUCUAUACUGGUGUACUGUGAUGGAAACCUAAUCAGACAGAGGCACUGACCGAGGAUUCCUGUAUAGUAGGACAGAGGCACAUCAGUGUUGUGAAUUUUAAAGCGAGUCUCAGGAUCAGCAAUUACACUGUAUUCUUCCCAGCGAGUCAAUCCCCACAGCAGAUCACCCUUGCUGAAUUUUGGAUUGUUUGACUCCAAAACUCUAGCCACUCCAAGACCCACUAUAGGCUACAAAGUGAAUCAGUAUCAAGUUAUGAAUUUGACUUGAGUCUACUCAUGAAAAGCAAAACUUCUGCCCCUUCAAUUGCACCAUAAACAACUACAUGUAUUACACCUAUUAUGUUAUAUCCAAAGUCAUGGGACUUAUCUCAAGUAGACAACCAUUUAUGGGACUGCAAUAAGUAACAAUGAACAGAGAAAAAACCAACUUCAAUCUAUUGGUUCUCCAGCCAAAUGAUAAGCAAAGCCACUGUGGAAAACAUAGAAAAAUGUUUCCAAAAUUGAAUUCUUUGACAUGUGUACUGAAAAAGAAAAGCAUAAUCAGGCAACCAGUGAAUGUUCUUUGUGAAAUCACUACACAUUGUCAACAUUACUCUUUGGAGUUAUAAUGCUUUCUACUGUCAUGUAGAGUUAUAAAUCAAAGUGCAUCCUUCUCUUAAAUUAAUACUCUGGAGAUUCCCAAAUAGUUAACUUACUCCAACACUGAACAAACUGUUCUUUGAAUAUAUUUGCUCCAUCAUUUUCCAUGUGAUGCAGAAAACCAUAAAGGCCCACAUGCUCUUGACCACCAGAUUUAUUUUAUCAAAAAAAAAAAAGAAAAAAGAAUGAAAUUCCGGAACAUCUAGGUUUCAAUCUACUUUUGAGUUUCAUUUCUUCACAGAAAGAUGAAUCAAGGUCAACUGCUAACCAGGUCAAACAUAAUUACAUAUUCUAGAUAUACACAUGCAAGUCAGAAUUCUCAUAUGAUCUUAUUUAACUGUACAAAAAUAAAAACUUUUGACUGUUUCAUGACUUCAGAGUCAAGUGAAUACUUCAAAAUCAACCAUAAAAGCGAGCAAGCCGCAGAUGUUCAGAUUAACACCAAUUAAGCAACAUAACAUAAAAUUCACAAAUGAAAAAUUCGAAUUUCCACUCAUGCAGACUAUCUCUACAUAAAAAUUCUUCAUGACGCCUAAAAAAAAAAAAAAAAAAAAAAAAAAGGUCUGGAAAUCCAAAUGUCACUCUAUCUUUAGCACUACAAUUGCAUGUACUGAUUAAACAUCCAUUAACCACUCCAGUUUAAACCAACAAAAAAGAAGAAGAGAGAAACACAAAACGUACACAUGUUCACAGAAACUGACUUACAGAGCCAGGAGUGUAGGCCUCAGCAUAAUGACCUUCAAGCUUGCGCAUGCGGGAUCUCAUAUAAGGAUCACAAGACAAAUACAGAUUCUUCACCAAGAUUGCCGCUGAAUAAUCGCCGCCAUCCGGAAGCUUCAACUUCAAAGCAGUCGUUUUCACCUCCAUAUCACUCUCUUUUGGGAAACCACUGACAUAAUUCUUCAGUAUAACUUGCUUAUUGCUCACUUCUUCCUCUGCCAUUUUCUGAAAUCCUCUCCCCAGAAAGAAAACAACCCUUUUCUUCUCUGAAAUAAAUAUUGGUGGGUUUCUUAUCCCUUUGGAAAUGGAGACUGAAAUCUGCAAUGGGUUGGAAUGUUAUAACAGAUGCAGCGGAACAGAAAGAACAAAACAAGAACAGACAAGAACAACUUGGGGGAAAUCAAAUUUUAUUAGAGUUGUAAUCGGAAUAGUUUACAGACUAAAAAAAGGUGUAUAUAUAUACAACCAAACGGACUGGACCCAAAAAUAGGCUCAAAACAAGACCCGAAAUAAAACAGACACGGUAACUAAUAUAUACCGUAAGCAAAACCCCCGAACAGCUCAGCGAAGGUCGAAGAUCUAAUUCAAGGCAUCUCAACAUGGAAUUAACAGGGGAUUUAUUCAAUAUUAUAUCUUAUUAUAUGGCUUUACUUCUUUCUAGAGCAGGGACACGUAAUGAACCAGUAUGUGGUAUGUCAAAACGGAAAAUACAGCAUUAGAUGUGAUACUAAGUUUGUGAUGAAGGCGUGGAUAGUAUUCAAUCGGAACCAACUAGAAUAUGCGGUUUAAUGCAUUAUCUAUACAUUAGUUGUAAAUUCUACCUUUAGUCUUGUUAAAAGCAGUCUAUAGCAGAGUGGAGAUUAAGGAAAUCACUUUUAGAAGAGCUUUGAGUAGCCAUGGAUAUCGUCGGAAGACUUACGACAAUUCAGCAAGAAAUGCAAAAGGGAGACUUGUAUCUAGGAAACUUUCAUAUAAACAGCAUGUAGUUGCUGAAACUUACGUGCAUGUAGUUGCUGUAUUAAGCAAAGUAAGAUGAGGCGAUGCAUUGCACAUGUUCAUGGCAGCAGCUGAAUUUCUGGAAUAUGAGCAAUCUUGUCCCAUUCUUGGCCUAUCUCUUUCUUGCAUCUGUCCUUGAGACGGGGACAUUCUUCAAUUGUCAAUUUCCUUAAUUUGAUGAGGUGACGCAUUGCCUCAGCAGAAGGCAAAUACAACAGAUUUUGGCAGUCUUCAAUGUGCAGUUCUUCGAGUGAAAGGAUUCUACCCAAGAACUCUGGCAGAGCCACGACCCCGUCAAAAUGCUCUAUCCUUAAAAAGGACAAGUUGGAGAGAUGCUGAAUCUGCUCCGGCAGGGAUGUGACUGCUUGCCAACCAUAUAAUACAAGAGACGCCAACGAGGCAAAAGGAUGUUGGAAUUCUUUGUUUUCAUAAUCGGUAAUAGAAACUCUGCAAGGAUUAAUGGCGUAGCUGGGCCAGGGGAAAUAAUCAAGAUCAUAAGAAAAAUCGCCUAGCACCAAUUCUUGUAGUUGAAUCAUCCUCGACAGAUGAUGCAAAUCCUCUGGUUGAAUAGCAGGGCACUCCAAUAAUCCAAACCGCCUGAUUGAUGUACAGACUUCUAUUCCACUUGGUAGUGAGCGCAAGUUGUUGCAUCCCGCAAGGGUCAGCUGAACUAGAGAUCGUAGGGAAUGAAUAUCUGGAAUGGAAACAAGAUUGGGGCAAGACAUUACUGUUAGAAUCUCAAGAGAUGCCAAUCCUCCCACGUCCUUUGGUAGAUGACUUAAACUAUCGCAAUCUGAAAUCCAUAGUUCUUUAAUGCAUCUAAGGUUGUGCCAAACACCAUCUGGCAGGCUUACCAAUUUGGGACAGAUCUUGGCUCUUAAAAUCUCCAAAGAAGGGAAUAUCUUGACUAAUGAAUGUGAUGAAUCGUGGCACAUCAAACCUGACCACUCUUUCAAACCAGGCAUAUCCUCCAGAAUUAGUUCUUUCAGUGCCGGAAAUGAAACCACAGCAUCCCCUGCUAGGCCACUUGGAUUGCUACUUGCAUCAUCAACAUUUUUCCAACCGAAGAAAUCAGUGCCGAUGCAAAUUACACUUUCCAUUCCAAUUAUGUUGACAAUAUUGAGGUGAGGGAGGUGCCAAAGUGGUGAAAUUUGCUGACACUUGUUGAAGUUCCUCAGCACGAUCUUCACAAGAUUGCGAAAGACCAAAGGAUGGCUUGUGGUCAGCAUCCACGGUG